GCCGGAAUUGCUGUAAUGGCAGGUCAGCAUACUGCCGUGAAUACGUUCCCGGGCCUUGUACACACCGCCCGUCACACCAUGAGAGUUGGGAAUACCCGAAGCCUGUGAGCUAACGUAAGAGGCAGCAGUCGAAGGUAGAAUCAAUGAUUGGGGUGAAGUCGUAACAAGGUAGC
rnacentral:rRNA from 1 species